CAGGGAGACAACAAAAUGUUUAAUAUUAUUAUUUUGUCACCUUAGGUCGAUCGGUAUCUCACGUUCUUAAUUAAUUAAGAAUUUCAUUUCCUAAGUUUUUCUAGGUCACACCCAUUAUUUUUCCUGGGCCAUUAGCUCAGGUGGUUAGAGCGCACCCCUGAUAAGGGUGAGGUCCCUGGUUCAAGUCCAGGAUGGCCCAUAUCUCUAUGUUGGGGGUAUAGCUCAGUUGGUAGAGCGCCUGCUUUGCAAGCAGGAUGUCAGCGGUUCGAGUCCGCUUACCUCCACUGAUUACCACCUCUUCCAUAAUCUGUGGAAAAGGAAAUUUUUUGAGUUGUGAUCAAAUUCUGAACGAAUCUAGCUUCCUAAUGAAAGCAUUAAGAUGCUGGACUCAUUGAAUUAAUUUCAUUGUUUUCAGAGAACCUUGACAACUGCAUAGAUUAUUUUUUUAAAGACAAUAAGCAUCUUUAAUGAUGCAGAUUUAUUAUUUGUGCGAAUGCAUUAAUAACAAUUCUAUUAAGCUGAUGCUUCAAUUUUUGAAGUUAUU
rnacentral:tRNA from 1 species